rnacentral:rRNA from 1 species
GAUUUCUGGUACGACGCAUUUGGCCCGCCGAGGUUACUCGGUUGUGUGCCGGUAUGCGUCUGCCAUCCUUCUGGGGAACGGCGCUACCCUUCACUGGGUGUGCGUUCGGUAUCCAGAUCUUUUACUUUGAAAAAAUUAGAGUGUUUAAAGCAGGCUUACGCUAUGAAUACAUUAGCAUGGAAUAAUAAUUUAGGACUUUGGUCUUAUUUUGUUGGUUUCUAGGACUAAAGUAAUGAUUGAUAGGGAUAGUUGGGGGUGCUAGUAUUCAGCGGCCAGAGGUGAAAUUCUUGGAUUCGCUGAAGACUAACUUAUGCGAAAGCAUU